CAGUCGCCACGGUAAUACGAAGGGGGCUAGCGUUGUUCGGAAUUACUGGGCGUAAAGCGCACGUAGGCGGAUAUUUAAGUCAGGGGUGAAAUCCCGCAGCUCAACUGCGGAACUGCCUUUGAUACUGGGUAUCUUGAGUAUGGAAGAGGUUAGUGGAAUUGCGAGUGUAGAGGUGAAAUUCGUAGAUAUUCGCAGUAACACCAGUGGCGAAGGCGGCUAACUGGUCCAUAACUGACGCUGAGGUGCGAAAGCGUGGGGAGCAAACAGGAUUAGAUACCCCUGUAGUCCCUGUCUCUUAUAC
rnacentral:rRNA from 1 species